UGGGGAAUAUUGCACAAUGGGCGCAAGCCUGAUGCAGCCAUGCCGCGUGUAUGAAGAAGGCCUUCGGGUUGUAAAGUACUUUCAGCGGGGAGGAAGGUGUUGAGGCUAAUAACCUCAGCAAUUGACGUUACCCGCAGAAGAAGCACCGGCUAACUCCGUGCCAGCAGCCGCGGUAAUACGGAGGGUGCAAGCGUUAAUCGGAAUUACUGGGCGUAAAGCGCACGCAGGCGGUCUGUCAAGUCGGAUGUGAGAUCCCCGGGCUCAACCUGGGAACUGCAUUCGAAACUGGCAGGCUAGAGUCUUGUAGAGGGGGGUAGAAUUCCAGGUGUAGCGGUGAAAUGCGUAGAGAUCUGGAGGAAUACCGGUGGCGAAGGCGGCCCCCUGGACAAAGACUGACGCUCAGGUGCGAAAGCGUGGGGAGCAAACA
rnacentral:rRNA from 1 species